rnacentral:rRNA from 1 species
AGAGUUUGAUCCUGGCUCAGGAUGAACGCUGGCGGUCUGCUUAACACAUGCAAGUCGAACGGAGUGCUUCGGCACUUAGUGGCGGACGGGUGAGUAACGCGUGAGAAUCUGCCCUUAGGACGGGGACAACAGCUGGAAACGGCUGCUAAUACCCGAUGUGCCGAGAGGUGAAACAUUUUAUGGCCUGAGGAUGAGCUCGCGUCUGAUUAGCUAGUUGGUGGGGUAAGAGCCUACCAAGGCGACGAUCAGUAGCUGGUCUGAGAGGAUGAUCAGCCACACUGGGACUGAGACACGGCCCAGACUCCUACGGGAGGCAGCAGUGGGGAAUUUUCCGCAAUGGGCGCAAGCCUGACGGAGCAAGACCGCGUGCGGGAGGACGGCCUAUUGGUUGUAAACCGCUUUUGAUAGGGAAGAAGUACUGACGG